rnacentral:rRNA from 1 species
UACGGAGGGGGCUAGCGUUGUUCGGAAUUACUGGGCGUAAAGCGUACGUAGGCGGCUUUGUAAGUUAGAGGUGAAAGCCCGGGGCUCAACUCCGGAAUUGCCUUUAAGACUGCAUCGCUUGAAUCAUGGAGAGGUUAGUGGAAUUCCGAGUGUAGAGGUGAAAUUCGUAGAUAUUCGGAAGAACACCAGUGGCGAAGGCGGCCCGCUGGACCGGCAUUGACGCUGAGGUGCGAAAGCGUGGGGAGCAAACAGG